AUGGCGGGGAUGCUCGAUUCGCCAUGGACCGGUCCCUGCAGGAGAGAGAAAGAAAGAGAGGAGGGAGAAAGCGAGAGGAAAGAGGAGAGGGAGGUGCGACGGCGGGCGGGAGAGGGUCUCCGGCCGGUGCGAGACAUUCACGUCUCUCGUCCUCUCCUGCUCUCGACCACCACCGUGGCCCUCCUUCUCCCCUUCAAUUCCCUGUCUCCUCUUCUCUGGAGUUACCUGAGUGGUCAACACCGAGAAAGAUGGGGAAUACAAAGCCAGCGAGGAAGACAGCUUGACUCUGCCGCCGAUACUGACCGGCCAAUUCUGUCGGGCGCCGUCAUGGGAGGAGGCGAACCAUCGAGGAGCAGCACGGGAGGAGAUAAAGAUAAGCCGCCGGACUCCCUGUUCACUUGUGGUUGCAUCUUGCCCGUGAGCUCCUUCUUCUUACAGCCAGCUUGGCCCUUUUCUUGCCAUGUUUUGGGUGAUGCAGCGUAUCAAGCAGGCGAGGGCGAGGAUCAGAUGCGGUAG
rnacentral:rRNA from 1 species